AUGUAUGUGUACAUAUAUAUAUAUACACACACAUUUAUCUAGAAACUGAAUAAAUUAUUUAUUUUAAAUAAAAAUGGUUAAUGGCUUAAAAUAAUCCUUAAUGGAAACAUUGGGGAAGAAUUCAAGAAAAAAUCUGUAUAUAUGUAUUAGAAAUGAACAUUUGUUUAAAAAUUUUUUUAUUCACUUUAUGUGUAUGGAUAUUUUGUUUGCAUGUAUGUAUAUGUACCAACCAUGUGUGUGCCUGGUCAGAAUAUGGCGUUGGAUCCCUGGGGUUGAAGUUACAGAUGGCUGUGAGUACCAUGUGGGUGCUGGGAAAUGAAACCUCUUGCUCUGGAAAGGCAGUCACUGAUCUUAACUACUGAAUCAUUUCUCCGGACCUGAAACAGACACUUACCAAACUGAAUGUCCAGAACUUAGUAUUUAUGUAGACAAGUCAAAUCUUGUAGAUUUAUGUAAACAAGACAUGAAGAACCAGGAUUUCAAGGCUUUUUUUUUUCUUAAAGAUUUAUUUAUUUGUUUUAUGUAUAAGUGCUCUAUCUGCAUGUACACCUUUAUUCCAGAAGAGGGCAUCAGAUCCCACUAUAGAUGGUUGUGCACCUCCAUGGUUGCUGGGAACUGAAUUCAGGUCCUCAGGAAGAGCAGUCAGUGCUCUUAACCACCGAGUCAACUCUCUAGCCCAUCAGUCUUACCUGUUUCAACUAUGAUUUUCAGUGGGUUUACUAACUGUAAAAUUAACAUCUGUUUUCACUUUCUGUGUGGAGAACCCUAAGAUAAUGAUUUUUGUGUUUUCAAAUAAAAACAUCCCCCAAACAUCUGAAAUACUGGGCUCAUUUCUAAAUGUCAAACAGAUUCUCUUUUACUUCCUCCAGGGCAAUUCACAGGAAUUAGCGUGUACUACCACUGAAUCACCAGAGGGCACAUGCAUAGAGCGGCCAUAUUGCGCAUUUAGAGCCCUGUACAGCUUCAGCAUGGGGUAGAAGCUUUUAAUCCCAUCAACUAGGAAGGAGACCCCACAGUCUGUUCUCUUUUUUUUUUUUGGUUUUUCGAGACAGGGUUUCUCUGUAUUGUUUUGGAGUCUGUCCUGGAACUAGCUCUGUAGACCAGGCUGGCCUCGAACUCACAGAGAUCCCCCUGCCUCUGCCUCCCGAGUGCUGGGAUUAAAGGCAUGCGCCACCAAUGCCCGGCUACCACAACCUGUUUUUAAAGCCUUUUGUUUCUAUGGGUGACCACCAGCAAGAGGAUCCAGAUCUGAGGUCGAGUCACUCUACCCAGAUGUGCUCCUCCUCAGAGCAAAGUAAGGACAAAUGAUUUCCUUUGUGUCUUAGGCUCCCUUUGAGUGAUCAGAGAGUCUUUACAAGUCAGAUCCAGAACUGACCAGGAUUCUCCCCACAAGCCAUCAAACACUCUUCCCACAGGCCUCUGACCUGACCACCACUUUUUCUCAUUCCUGCACUGUCAUCUCCGCAUUCUCCUUGUGGAUUCUCUUGUUUACCACACCCUCUUCCUCCUCCUCUGCUCAAGUCCUGCUGUACCUAAGAGUCUUCCUUGAGAACUAGCAGUGACUGUUCACCCUCUCAGUCUUCUGAGAAUAACAUAAGAAUGCUGUAGACGUCCUUUCACAUAUACAUGAUUCACUUUAUAGCUAGGUGACACCUAAGCCUCUUGGGCAGAGCCUCCCCUCACUUGCCCUGUUCCUCUCUGCCAUCCCAGGUCUCUGAGUUCUAUACACAAGGUUGGACGAGCAUAGUAGGACCUAAAGUAUAUGCAAUUGGGAUCAUGUGACUGACACCUCACAAGAAAAAAAAUAGACCAUGACAACACUAGAUUACACAGACACAUGAACAGGCCAAAUGUCCUCUUUGAAACCCUAACACUACCAAUCAUAUUGCCAUAAAACCCAACUGUUAUCUUUAAUAUAUAUCUAUUCCCAGGCAAAUCCCUGUGGACGAUUUACCUUAGAUAGUCAGAGUUUGGAAAUCAAGGCCCAAUUCAGGUAUUGAAGGUAAUUUUUCUAAAUGAAGUAGUCAGAGUCCAGCAGGCUAUUAUCAUGGCAUAGACUGUGACCUUAUGUGUACAGAUAGUGUGGGAGGGUUACAAACUGUCACCAACAUGAAUCCUUCAGGGGUUUUCCUUCCACAUCCCCAUAUGUCCUAAUUUGUAUUAAAGAAGUCUUUCCUAGAAGAAAAGACAGGUUCCCAUAUCCUCUCAUCAAAGAAUAAAGGAAACACAUAAAAAAAUGUCCAAUCAACACCAAAAUGUUGACCUUUCUUUCAAUGAGUUCUCCUAUUUUAGCAACUCUUACUAUAGAUGCAAAACUAACAAAAACAAGGCACUUAUGGAUUUCUUCCAAAUAGCCUAUUUACACAUUUCAAAACAAGUUGCUAAAGGUGAGAUUGAUUAUCUGGUGAGAACACUUCUGUAGUUGUUGAAACAUCUAAAACCUUAUCUUUCUAACCUUGAUCCCUCUCCUUCUGAUAGUAAUAGUCAUAACUUGGGAGAAAAGAAUUGGAAGAAGGAAGUUCACUCAUCUUAAAAAGAACGAUCUGAGUUUGGGAUGGGGAAAAAAGGAAAAGAAGUGGUAGAAAUGCUGUUUGCACAGCAGAAUCAGCAGCUCCUUCCAGCCCAGAAUCUCAGAGUUUAAACACAGACCAUGCAGAAAGCACCGAGGGGCUAGCAGAAGAGCAAAAGACACACACAUGCACGAGAAGAAGAGGAGGUGAGGAACUGCCUUCACUCUCCCGGGAUUAGGGUCACUUUCCUCUCCCAAGAGUCUCGUAUUUACAAGCACAACUGUCUUGUCUUGCCUGAAAAUUACUUAGUUUUUCUAAGCCCAGACUGUUUGAAAGACAGCAAAACAUCUCCCAAACCCUUGUUUUCAUGGCCAUCCAUCUGGAGUGGUGAGGCAACAAUUAGAAAUGUGAUACUAUAUAUAUACCAAGGCCCAUGGUUUAACAUUUUUUCUCUUUUAACACAUAGGGAACAAGAAGCUCUAGAGUCUCCAAGAAACUCAUGACUACUACCUACUGUAGUUUUCACUGCAUCAUUCUUUUAGUCCAUCGUCUUUUGCUGAAGGCAGUCUAGAAAAAUAUAACUAUCUGCCCAGAAAUCAGUGCUAAAGAAGGGUGGCAGCAUCAUUAAUGCAGCAUGCACAAAACCAAAAUGGUCAGAAGAAAGUUGUGGACACAAGCAUGAAAAGUCCAGUCUGUGAUGAGCAGCACACAGAGGAGACAGAAUAGAGUUUCCAACCCAUGAUGAGACAAACCCUUUGAAAGACACACAACCCCUUUGAAAGAUGAACGUACUUAGCUUCCUCCACUACCUCCACCUCAGCAUGAGCCGUGAUUGGUGCAUUUGAGUGAGCUCCGGUUGGAUCAUCAACAUUCAGCUCUCCGUUGGUUGAGCUGACCACCUGAAACAGAGACAGACCUCGAUAAGCACCAAGGUUGUAUGAAGUUCCUGCCUCCACCACAGUAGAUUAGGCGAGAUUAGGUCUCACACUUAGGUACUAGCCAGACAGGGUGUGGAAUGUGUGUUUACCUGUGUUAAGGGAACACUGUCCUGAUUUAGGGAGGGUUCCUAGACCUUUAUCUUGUCAGAACACUUAAUGAUAUAAUCAUACAAUUAAUUUCAUAUUGAGUGCCUACUUUGGUUUGCACUCUGCUACACUGUAUGUGUGUGUAUAAAUUUAAUCCUUAUAAAACCCUUACUUAAUAUGUCACAA